rnacentral:tRNA from 1 species
GCGGGCAUAGCUCAGUUGGUAGAGCAUCGGCUUCCCAAGCCGGAGGUCGCGGGUUCGACCCCCGCUGCCCGCUCCA